GAACUAAUAGCUCAGUGGUUAGAGCCCUCCGCUCAUAACGGAGAUGUCGUAGGUUCAAAUCCUACUUAGUUCACCA
rnacentral:tRNA from 2 species